rnacentral:rRNA from 1 species
CAGCAGCCACGGGAAUACGGAGGGAGCUAGCGUUGUUCGGAAUUACUGGGCGUAAAGCGCACGUAGGCGGCUUUGUAAGUUAGAGGUGAAAGCCUGGAGCUCAACUCCAGAAUUGCCUUUAAGACUGCAUCGCUUGAAUCCAGGAGAGGUGAGUGGAAUUCCGAGUGUAGAGGUGAAAUUCGUAGAUAUUCGGAAGAACACCAGUGGCGAAGGCGGCUCACUGGCCCGAUACUGACGCUGAGGCACGAAAGCGUGGGGAGCAAACAGGAUUAGAUACCCGAGUAGUCCCUGUCUCUUAUAC